GAUGAACGCUAGCGAUAGGCUUAACACAUGCAAGUCGAGGGGCAUCAAGGGGAUAGUUUACUAUUUCUGUUGGCGACCGGCGCACGGGUGAGUAACGCGUAUGCAAUCUACCUCAUACAAAGGGAUAGCCCGGAGAAAUUCGGAUUAAUACCAUAUAGUACUAAUUAAUCGCAUGAUUAAUUAUUUAAAGAUUUAUCGGUAUGAGAUGAGCAUGCGUUCCAUUAGUUAGUUGGUAAGGUAACGGCUUACCAAGGCAUCGAUGGAUAGGGGAACCGAGAGGUUUAUCCCCCACACUGGAACUGAGACACGGACCAGACACCUACGGGAGGCAGCAGUGAGGAAUAUUGGUCAAUGGGACGAGAGUCUGAACCAGCCAAGUCGCGUGAAGGAUGACUGCCCUACGGGUUGUAAACUUCUUUUGUGUAGGAAUAAAAGNUAUCACGUGUGAUAUAUUGCAAGUACUACACGAAUAAGCAUCGGCUAACUCAGUGCCAGCCC
rnacentral:rRNA from 1 species